UCAGGCCUAACACAUGCAAGUCGAACGCUAUCUUGUAUAGAGUGGCGCACGGGUGAGUAACGCGUGGGGACCUGCCUUUCUCUGCGGGACAACGGUUGGAAACGACCGCUAAUACCGCAUACGCCCUACGGGGGAAAGGUCAGCCGGAGAAAGAGGGGCCCGCGUUUGAUUAGCUAGUUGGUGGGGUAAUGGCCUACCAAGGCGACGAUCAAUAGCUGGUCUGAGAGGAUGAUCAGCCACACUGGGACUGAGACACGGCCCAGACUCCUACGGGAGGCAGCAGUGGGGAAUAUUGGACAAUGGGGGCAACCCUGAUCCAGCAAUGCCGCGUGUGUGAUGAAGGCCUUAGGGUUGUAAAGCACUUUCACUGGUGAAGAUGAUGACGGUAACCAGAGAAGAAGCCCCGGCUAACUUCGUGCCAGCAGCCGCGGUAAUACGAAGGGGGCGAGCGUUGUUCGGAAUUACUGGGCGUAAAGGGCGCGUAGGCGGCUCUUUAAGUUAGGCGUGAAAUCCCCGGGCUCAACCUGGGAACUGCGCUUAAGACUGGAGAGCUAGAAAACGGAAGAGGGUAGUGGAAUUCCCAGUGUAGAGGUGAAAUUCGUAGAUAUUGGGAAGAACACCAGUGGCGAAAGCGGCUACCUGGUCCGGAUUUGACGCUGAGGCGCGAAAGCGUGGGGAGCAAACAGGAUUAGAUACCCCG
rnacentral:rRNA from 1 species